UGAGGAACCGGAAACUCAGCGAGGUUAAGUUUCACCUUCCUGAAAAUCGGGUACCCCGUUUCUGUUCCCCCAAGGGAGCUCAAUUCAAAGUCCCCAAAGGAAUAGGUCUUCUGUGAGGACCUGUUCUCCACUGGAAAAAGCAGUGGGAGUGACCCAGGGCGGCCCCUCUGGCCCAAGCUUGUGGGUGGCGGGGAUGGGGGUGGGGACAGAGGGCCUAAAUGGGUGGCCAGGUGGUCUGCAGAGUCUCUCCAGCAGCAGAUGGCCUCCCCAGCCCUUUCCUUCAGAGCCUAUUAAGCUGUCAGAUGGGGGAGGGUUGGCCCCCAAGGCCAGGGACUCAGCAGCAGCAGCAGCUCACAGCACUGGAGCCGUUAAAAAGUGACUCAACCAGAAAGUGCGUUUGAAGUGACGCCCGCCAGGGCCCCAGAGCCCCAGAGCCAAACCUCAAAAAGACGAAGUGAGAGAGACAGGCCUGCGGGGGCUGGGCCAGGGGUGGAGACCCAGCCUGGAGCCGGCCUGGCCAAAUAAGGGCAAAUGCACUAGGGCGGGCCAAUGGGGCACCAGUGGCUGGCUGCGUCACGGAGCUGUGGCUCUGGGCAGGGGGAGGUGAGAUGCCUGGGCCAAAAUGGGGGCAGGCGUCAGGGGGCCCAGUCCCUCUUCAAGGGGUCCCAGGGUGGGUGAAUACAGGAGGCAUGGAAGCCCUCACCCUCAAGGAGGCUUUGACACUCAGGUCAGUGGACCUGCAACCCCAGAGCCCACCUGCAGGCUGGGUGGGGCUCAAGGGAGAAAAAGGAAAACCUGGAGGACCCCCCAUGCCCCUGCCCCAGUUAUGGGCCCUGGAUCCCCAUCUGCCAUGCAGAACUGAAGGGAGGCCAUAGGGACAGCAGUGUUGUGCAAGGGGGAAAGGCUGAAGCACCAGUGCAGCCUCACCAGGCCACUGACUGUGGGCAAGAGAUGUAAUGGAAACUCAGUUUUCUCAUCUGUGAAAGGGGAAUAAUAUUGCCUCGUGGGAUGGCACUGAGGGUCAAAUGCAAUAAUAGAAGUGGCCCAUUUUGAAGCUGGAAAUUGUCAUAGGGAUGUAAUAGAUGAUUAGUGUAGAGGCACAAGGCCAAAGGCUGCUUCUUAGAUUCUUGUUUCCAGUUGCUAUAAAAUAUCCCUUUGCAAGGACACCAUGUGGUUCUCAAUUUUGGCCCCUGGUGUCUAGAACAAGGUAGGGGGAGGUGCAGAUGCCACAGGGAUUCCCGAAUCUUAGUCCCUAAGCAAAAGCAGAAGAGACUGAUGCCUGCUCGCCUCCAGCUGAUUCCCCAGGGACAUACCCCCUCUUCAUUUCUCCUGCAUCUCCUCACCUUCCAUGAAUCCAGACCAUGCCCCACCCCUCCUCCUGAGACCCCGCCCUCCAUCUCCCCGGCCUCUCUGGGGUGCAGGGCAGCGGAAGUGAGUCUACUCAGCUGACCAGAGAAAGUGCUGCAGCUGCCUGCACAGGGUGGGCCGGCCACUGGCUUGUUCAGGGCCUGUGAUAACUCCCUUGCCUCAGGCCUCCGCAGCCCCUGCUGGGACCACUGGCCCAGGAGGAAGGCUGGGCUCUGGCUGCCACCUGCUUCCUCUCAGGAGUUCUCCUCCCUCCCAAGCAUGGAUUUGCAUUUCCCCCCUCUGCCUUCUGCUACUCAAGCCCCCAGGGAUGAGGUGACAGUUAACCCCCCACUUCCUGCCAGUGGCCCCAGAGCGCUCACUUCCUUCCAGUCUGCGCAGUCAGGGUCAGGCACCCUUUCCGACUACUCACUCAGCUGCGGAUCCCCACCCGCCUGUGACUCCCAGCGUCUUUCGGCUCCAACUUAAGUUCACCGAACGUCUAAGAGCUGAGGAUUCAAAGGCAUGUAAGACCGCCCGUGCCCUCAGCUAAAAGACCUGCCCGCGAUCCUACGAGCCCCGCUCCGCCCUCUUUCCCCGACCUUGGUCCCCCAUGGUCCCUACAACCAAGUCCCCGACUGACACCUUGACCAGCGAACACAGCAAACAGGCCCGCAGAUGCCGCAGGUCCUUCGGCACUGUCUCCAGGGCCAUCUUCUCCGAUGGGAAGAGCAACAGAGAGAUACACGGCCACAGCCUGCGCACCCGCAGGAAGUAAACACCUCGUUACCCAGAAUGCCCGCCACUUCUGGCGCUCAGACUUCCUCUUCCGGUGUGGGCGGGCGCCUGCUCCGCCCCUACCCCCGCCAGAGGAGAUGGUUUCUCCCACCGGCAGGCGGGGAGGCGGGGCGGUCGGCCGCCACCUGGGCCGGGGCGCGUCCCCGCCACCUGAGCCCGCCGAGGGCGCGGCGGAGGCUGUGUAGGGUAGUUAGCGGGCCCUCGAGGGGCGGGGCGGGGCGGGGCGGGGUGGGCGGCUGCGCUUGCGCGGGAGUGCGUCGGCCUGAGCCGCAGCGCCGCGACGCGGGCCGUUUGAUCUGGGUUGCUGGCAUUGGGGCGGCGGUCCCGUUCCCGGUGGUGACGCGAAAUUUUUGUUUUGUUUUGUCUUCCCGUUUUAGAAGCACUAGGGGCAGUGAAUCCACUGUCUCCCUCUGGAUUAUCUCUGCAGAGACCCAUAACAAAUCCAGGGACAGCCCCACCCCUCCUCCCUAACUGCCAGAGCCCUAUAGGGUUUCCACUUGCUUCCCACAGGAAUGCUGGCCUGCGAGCUACGGCGGAAAACAUGCGUAUUUAUCUUUUAAAACUCCGUCUGUUUGCUCGUUCCGGCUGAUAAUUUAUACUUUGCGCAGUUCUUAGCACUUAGACACGUUUCCUUUACUAAAGAACAUUUGUAGGAGAUUAGGUGUCCUUUUUUUCUCUUUCAUUUCACCGUAUAGGAAGCGAAAUGCCUUGUUCUACAGGCACCAACCACCACCCCUACCAAACCUUCUUCGGGGAAGCAGAAGGGGAACAUGUGCCGUGUGAGGAAGCGACAGAGGCCCCUUCUGGCCCUGGGGACUUCAUGCCAACGGAGCACCAGCUCUCUCUGUCCUCGCCAUAGCCCGAGUGCAGGCAGAACGCAGUCAUUUGUGUUUAUCUGAGAGGAGCUUUGGGAUAUAAAUAGUUUCAGGCCCCGCUGUUCUAUCCUUCCAGCCCAGCCUCCUGAUUGAAACUGAGCUGCUUCCGGGCAGGCUUGCUUCUUGUUGCCGGUCCCAUGCUGUGUUCAGAUGGGCUCUGUGACAGGUUUGGAUGUUUUCUAUCAUUGAAUAAAACUUUACACUUUGGAACAUGUUUUCUGUACUCGAUUAUCUCAUGUAAGUCCUGCAACAACCAUGAAGUAGGCCCAUUUUAUGGACUGAAAAAGCGAGGCACAGAGUAUUUGCCCAAGGUCUAAGUCACUGAAGCAUCAUAAUGUGUGAAGUGAACAGUAUAAUUAUGACUGAAUCACAGUGAGAAUCUAAUCAUGCUUUCUCCUUCCCUGAUCUCACUAAGUCACACUUUUAGGGGCUUACAAACCAGUUCUUAUUGCCAAGCCCUCUACUCUACCCUAUCCUUUCAUAAAUCGGAGCCUAGCCUCUGAUAACAGAAAUAAUUUAUUUCUCUUGAUGUAGAAAGAGAUGAAGUUGUUACCCUGAGUGACAGUCAUGACAAAACAAAAACACAAGACCAGACCACAUUUGUGGAUAAAUAUAUUAGCAAAUAAAUACAUUUCUCAACAUAGUGCCUGA